UGCCUUUGUGUUGCCCAUUCAUUGUCUCCAGAGUGAAUGAGGUGUCAACCAAGGCAUACAGUAACCAUGUGGUUGUCUUUUUUUGGAAAGGAGUCUCCACUGAUUCCUUUCAAUAACUGCAACUGCAAGAACACAACAGUA